AACGAACGCUGGCGGCAGGCCUAACACAUGCAAGUCGAACGAACCCUUCGGGGUGAGUGGCGCACGGGUGCGUAACACGUGGGAAUAUACACAUAGGUAAGGAAUAACUCAGGGAAACUUGCGCUAAUACCUUAUAAUAACUCCGGUUCAAAGAUUUAUCGCCUAUGGACUAGCCCGCGCUAGAUUAGUUUGUUGGUGAGGUAAGAGCUCACCAAGACUGCGAUCUAUAGCUGGUCUUAGAGGAUGAUCAGCCACACUGGAACUGAGACACGGUCCAGACUCCUACGGGAGGCAGCAGUGAGGAAUAUUGCGCAAUGGAGGAAACUCUGACGCAGCCAUGCCGCGUGAAUGAAGAAGGCCUUAGGGUUGUAAAAUUCUUUCAGAUGCGAAGAUAAUGACGGUACCAUCAGAAGAAGCUCCGGCUAAAUUCGUGCCAGCAGCCGCGGUAAUGUCAGUG
rnacentral:rRNA from 1 species